rnacentral:tmRNA from 1 species
GGGGGUGAUCGGUUUCGACGUCGAUAGUUCGGCCAGGGGAAGCGGGCCGAGGAUGCAGGGUUAUCUCGUUAACGCUCCCUGUAAACCAAUAGGUGCCGAUUCCAAGCGCACCGACUUCGCCCUCGCCGCCUGAGCGAGCGCAUAAAGAAGUCCGUCAGCCUAGGUUUGAUUCCGGCCUAGUUCCUGGCGUCAUCUAGGAAUCUUGCUGCAAUGUCAUGUCGGGGGGCAUUGCGGGACUUUUACUCGACUGGGCCUGUGUUCGGGAACGUGUGCGUGCGUGCCCGAAGGCUGAGAAACACCUAAGCGCACUGCGCCCGGAGAAGUCCUGGUCUUUCAUCGGCGGACGCGGGUUCGAUUCCCGCCACCUCCACCA